CCCGCUGAGUUUAAGCAUAUCAAUAAGCGAAGGAAAAGAUACUUACCAGGAUUCCCCUAGUAACGGCGAGCGAACUGGGAAAAGCCCAGCUUGAGAAUCGGGCGCCACCGGCGUUCGAAUUGUAGUCUAGAGAAGCGUCCUCAGCCGCGGACCAGGCCCAAGUCCCCUGGAAACGGGCGCCGGAGAGGGUGAGAGCCCCGUCGUGCCCGGACCCUGUCGCACCAUGAGGCGCUGUCUACGAGUCGGUUGUUUGGGAAUGCAGCCCUAAUCGGGCGGUAAAUUCUGUCCAAGGGUAAAUACGGGCGAGAGACCGAUAGCGAACAAGUACCGUGAGGGAAAGAUGAAAAGGACUUUGAAAAGAGAGUCAAAGAGUGCUUGAAAUUGUCGGGAGGGAAACGGAUGGGGGCCAGCGAUGUGCCCCAGUCGGAUGUGAAACGACG
rnacentral:ncRNA from 1 species